rnacentral:rRNA from 1 species
UACGGAAGGCGCAAGCGUUAAUCGGAAUGACUGGGCGUAAAGCGUGCGCAGGCGGCCGCGCAAGUCGGAUGUGAAAGCCCCGGGCUCAACCCGGGAAUGGCGUUCGAAACUGCACGGCUAGAGUCCGACAGAGGAAGGUGGAAUUCCGCGUGUAGCGGUGAAAUGCGUAGAUAUGCGGAAGAACACUAAUGGCGAAGGCAUCCUUCUGGGUCGGCACUGACGCUGAGGCACGAAAGCGUGGGUAGCAAACAGG